UACGAAGGGGGCUAGCGUUGUUCGGAAUUACUGGGCGUAAAGCGCGUGUAGGCGGCUUUUUAAGUCAGGGGUGAAAUGCCAAGGCUCAACCUUGGAACUGCCUUUGAUACUGGAGACCUUGAGUUCGGGAGAGGUGAGUGGAAUUGCGAGUGUAGAGGUGAAAUUCGUAGAUAUUCGCAAGAACACCAGUGGCGAAGGCGGCUCACUGGCCCGGUACUGACGCUGAGGUGCGAAAGCGUGGGGAGCAAACAGG
rnacentral:rRNA from 1 species